rnacentral:rRNA from 1 species
GAACGCAUACUUUAGAGUAUGAGUGGCAGACGGGUGAGUAACGCGUGAGACAUCUACCUUACAGCCCGGUAUAAAUAUCUAUAUAGAGGCGAAAAUCUUUAUAUAUGAGUGAAUCCCGGAUAUUUUGAAUAAAAAAAAAGGCAAAGAAUCGUUGUAAGAUGAGCUCGCGUAGGAUUAGGUAGUUGGUAAGGUAAAAGCUUAUCCAAGCCGAUGAUCCUUAGCUGUUCUGAGAGGAUGAUCAGCCACACUGGGACUGAGACACGGCCCAGACGCUUUUGAGCGGCAGCAGCGAGGAAUUUUGGACAAUGGGCGAAAGCCUGAUCCAGCUAUAUCGCAUGAAUGAAGAAGGCUCAAUUGGUUGUAAAAUUCAUAGUUUCAUUGUAGAUUAUGACAUUGAUGAAAUGAAUAGUCCCGGCCAACUCCGUGC